UACGGAGGGUGCAAGCGUUAUCCGGAUUCACUGGGUUUAAAGGGUGCGUAGGAGGGCAGGUAAGUCAGUGGUGAAAUCCCCGAGCUUAACUUGGGAACUGCCGUUGAUACUAUCUGUCUUGAAUAUUGUGGAGGUGAGCGGAAUAUGUCAUGUAGCGGUGAAAUGCUUAGAUAUGACAUAGAACACCAAUUGCGAAGGCAGCUCGCUACACAUAUAUUGACUCUGAGGCACGAAAGCGUGGGGAUCAAACAGGA
rnacentral:rRNA from 1 species